rnacentral:rRNA from 1 species
AUUAAACGCUGGCGGCAUGCCUUACACAUGCAAGUCGAACGGCAGCACGGGGUGGUAACACUCUGGUGGCGAGUGGCGGACGGGUGAGUAAAGCAUCGGAACGUGCCCUGGAAUGGGGGAUAACGUAGCGAAAGUUACGCUAAUACCGCAUAUUCUGUGCGCAGGAAAGCAGGGGCUCGCAAGACCUUGCGUUCUGGGAUCGGCCGAUGUCGGAUUAGCUAGUUGGUGGGGUAAAGGCCUACCAAGGCGACGAUCCGUAGCGGGUCUGAGAGGAUGAUCCGCCACACUGGGACUGAGACACGGCCCAGACUCCUACGGGAGGCAGCAGUGGGGAAUUUUGGACAAUGGGCGCAAGCCUGAUCCAGCCAUGCCGCGUGAGUGAAGAAGGCCU